UUAAGUUGCAGGGUAUAGACCCGAAACCCGGUGAUCUAGCCAUGGGCAGGUUGAAGGUUGGGUAACACUAACUGGAGGACCGAACCGACUAAUGUUGAAAAAUUAGCGGAUGACUUGUGGCUGGGGGUGAAAGGCCAAUCAAACCGGGAGAUAGCUGGUUCUCCCCGAAAGCUAUUUAGGUAGCGCCUCGUGAAUUCAUCUCCGGGGGUAGAGCACUGUUUCGGCAAGGGGGUCAUCCCGACUUACCAACCCGAUGCAAACUGCGAAUACCGGAGAAUGUUAUCACGGGAGACACACGGCGGGUGCUAACGUCCGUCGUGAAGAGGGAAACAACCCAGACCGCCAGCUAAGGUCCCAAAGUCAUGGUUAAGUGGGAAACGAUGUGGGAAGGCCCAGACAGCCAGGAUGUUGGCUUAGAAGCAGCCAUCAUUUAAAGAAAGCGUAAUAGCUCACUGGUCGAGUCGGCCUGCGCGGAAGAUGUAACGGGGCUAAACCAUGCACCGAAGCUGCGGCAGCGACACUGUGUGUUGUUGGGUAGGGGAGCGUUCUGUAAGCCUGUGAAGGUGUGCUGUGAGGCAUGCUGGAGGUAUCAGAAGUGCGAAUGCUGACAUAAGUAACGAUAAAGCGGGUGAAAAGCCCGCUCGCCGGAAGACCAAGGGUUCCUGUCCAACGUUAAUCGGGGCAGGGUGAGUCGACCCCUAAGGCGAGGCCGAAAGGCGUAGUCGAUGGGAAACAGGUUAAUAUUCCUGUACUUGGUGUUACUGCGAAGGGGGGACGGAGAAGGCUAUGUUGGCCGGGCGACGGUUGUCCCGGUUUAAGCGUGUAGGCUGGUUUUCCAGGCAAAUCCGGAAAAUCAAGGCUGAGGCGUGAUGACGAGGCACUACGGUGCUGAAGCAACAAAUGCCCUGCUUCCAGGAAAAGCCUCUAAGCAUCAGGUAACAUCAAAUCGUACCCCAAACCGACACAGGUGGUCAGGUAGAGAAUACCAAGGCGCUUGAGAGAACUCGGGUGAAGGAACUAGGCAAAAUGGUGCCGUAACUUCGGGAGAAGGCACGCUGAUAUGUAGGUGAAGUCCCUCGCGGAUGGAGCUGAAAUCAGUCGAAGAUACCAGCUGGCUGCAACUGUUUAUUAAAAACACAGCACUGUGCAAACACGAAAGUGGACGUAUACGGUGUGACGCCUGCCCGGUGCCGGAAGGUUAAUUGAUGGGGUCAGCGCAAGCGAAGCUCUUGAUCGAAGCCCCGGUAAACGGCGGCCGUAACUAUAACGGUCCUAAGGUAGCGAAAUUCCUUGUCGGGUAAGUUCCGACCUGCACGAAUGGCGUAAUGAUGGCCAGGCUGUCUCCACCCGAGACUCAGUGAAAUUGAACUCGCUGUGAAGAUGCAGUGUACCCGCGGCAAGACGGAAAGACCCCGUGAACCUUUACUAUAGCUUGACACUGAACAUUGAGCCUUGAUGUGUAGGAUAGGUGGGAGGCUUUGAAGUGUGGACGCCAGUCUGCAUGGAGCCGACCUUGAAAUACCACCCUUUAAUGUUUGAUGUUCUAACGUGGACCCGUGAUCCGGGUUGCGGACAGUGUCUGGUGGGUAGUUUGACUGGGGCGGUCUCCUCCUAAAGAGUAACGGAGGAGCACGAAGGUUGGCUAAUCCUGGUCGGACAUCAGGAGGUUAGUGCAAUGGCAUAAGCCAGCUUGACUGCGAGCGUGACGGCGCGAGCAGGUGCGAAAGCAGGUCAUAGUGAUCCGGUGGUUCUGAAUGGAAGGGCCAUCGCUCAACGGAUAAAAGGUACUCCGGGGAUAACAGGCUGAUACCGCCCAAGAGUUCAUAUCGACGGCGGUGUUUGGCACCUCGAUGUCGGCUCAUCACAUCCUGGGGCUGAAGUAGGUCCCAAGGGUAUGGCUGUUCGCCAUUUAAAGUGGUACGCGAGCUGGGUUUAGAACGUCGUGAGACAGUUCGGUCCCUAUCUGCCGUGGGCGCUGGAGAACUGAGGGGGGCUGCUCCUAGUACGAGAGGACCGGAGUGGACGCAUCACUGGUGUUCGGGUUGUCAUGCCAAUGGCACUGCCCGGUAGCUAAAUGCGGAAGAGAUAAGUGCUGAAAGCAUCUAAGCACGAAACUUGCCCCGAGAUGAGUUCUCCCUGACCCUUUAAGGGUCCUGAAGGAACGUUGAAGACGACGACGUUGAUAGGCCGGGUGUGUAAGCGCAGCGAUGCGUUGAGCUAACCGGUACUAAUGAACCGUGAGGCUUAACCUUACAACGCCGAAGGUGUUU
rnacentral:rRNA from 1 species